AACCGCUGUAUACGAGGCCCGUACGUACAGUGGUGUGAGAGCCUCUCCCCGCUAAAUUAGUGGGGAGGGCUACUCGAU
rnacentral:misc_RNA from 1 species